GUGCCAGCCGCCGCGGUAAUACCGGCAGCCCAAGUGAUGGCCGCUGUUAUUGGGCCUAAAGCGUCCGUAGCUGGCCGCGCAAGUCCGUCGGGAAAUCCAUCAGCCCAACUGAUGGGCGUCCGGCGGAAACUGCACGGCUUGGGACCGGAAGACUCGAGAGGUACGUCCGGGGUAGGAGUGAAAUCCCGUAAUCCCGAACGGACCACCGAUGGCGAAAGCACUUCGAGAAAACGGAUCCGACAGUGAGGGACGAAAGCUAAGAUCGCGAACCGGAUUAGAUACCCGGGUAGUCC
rnacentral:rRNA from 1 species